UUUCCGUAGGUGAACCUGCGGAAGGAUCAUUAACACGUUUCCAAAACGUUCUUAUUUUCCACCCUACUCUCUGUGCAUCUUAACCCGGCCUCCCGACCGAUCUCUUUCACGAGAGAUUGUGCCGGGCGCCAUUGGGGUUCAAGGAAUUUUUGUGUUUGGAUUUUCUGUCGUAAGACGGAAAAGACGAAGAAUGCAAGGCCUCCUCCCUUUGGCGUUGCCACCCCAACCCCAACCCUUGAAUCUAAUUGCUCUGAAUUGUUUUUUUUCCGGUUCACGCUGGAAGAAAAAAAAAAGAACAAAAAACAACUCUUAACAAUGGAUAUCUUGGUUCUC
rnacentral:misc_RNA from 1 species